GCGUCUCUUCCUACGCUUUUCUAUGCCGUCCAGCGAAUGAGGGUAGCUUGCUACCUGAUUUAUCGGCGGACGGGUGAGUAAUGUAUAGGGAGCUGCCCGAUAGAGGGGGAUACCAGUUGGAAACGACUGUUAAUACCGCAUAAUGACUACUGACCAAACCGUGGGACCUUCGGGCCACAUGCUAUCGGAUGCACCUAUAUGGGAUUAGCUAGUUGGUGGGGUAAUGGCUCACCAAGGCGACGAUCCCUAGCUGGUUUGAGAGGAUGAUCAGCCACACUGGAACUGACACACGGUCCAGACUCCUACGGGAGGCAGCAGUGGGGAAUAUUGGACAAUGGGCGCAAGCCUGAUCCAGCCAUGCCGCGUGUGUGAACAAGGCCUUCGGGUUGUAUAGCACUUUCAGCGACGAUGAAUGGGUGUGUGUUAAUAGCACAUAUCUUUGACGUUACUCUCAUAACAAGCACCGGCUAACUCCGUGCCAGCAACCUCGGUAAUACCGAGGGUGCAAGCGUUAAUCGGAAUUACUGGGCGUAAAGCGCACGUAUGCGGUGUGUUAAGUUGGAUGUGAUAUCCCCGGGCUCAACCUGGGAAUUGCAUUCAAAACUGGCACGCUAUAGUAUGUGAGAGGGGGGUAGAAUUCCAAGUGUAGCGGUGAAAUGCCUACAGAUUUGGAGGAAUACCAGUGGAGAAAGCGGCCCCCUGGCACAAUACUGACGCUCAUGUGCGAAAGCGUGGGGAGCAAACAGGAUUAGAUACCCUGGUAUUCCACGCCGUAAACGACGUCUACUAGCUGUUCGUGGUCUUGUACUGUGAGUAGCGCAGCUAAUCUCCACUACCUAGACCGCCUGGGGAGUACCGUCGCAGAUUUAAAACUCAAUGAAGUUGUACCGGGAGUCCCGCAUCAAGCGGUCGAGCAUGUGGUCUAAUUUCGAACGCAACGCGAAGAUCUUUACCUUACUUCUUGACAUCUAGCGAAAGUCUGGCAGAGAUGCCGAUGUGUCCUUCAGGUACCGCCUAAGAAAAGGUGCUUGCAUGUCUUGUCCAUACACUUCAUGUCUGUGUAAUGUUUGGAUUAAGUUCUGCUAUGAACGGCAAGCCUAUUCUUUACUGCCACACGGUAUAGGUGGUAAUCUCUAGGGUAACUGCCGGUGAUAACGUAGAGUGGAACACGUUCAGAGUCUUCAUGGCCUA
rnacentral:rRNA from 1 species